rnacentral:tRNA from 1 species
GCGACUAUGGUCUAAUGGUAUGAUCUCAGCUUCCCAAGCUGAUGACCCGGGUUCGAUUCCCGGUAGUCGCACCA